AGUGAACGCUGGCGGUAGGCCUAACACAUGCAAGUCGAACGGCAGCACAGGAGAGCUUGCCCUCUGGGUGUCGAGUGGCGGACGGGUGAGGAAUACAUCGGAAUCUACUCUGGCGUGGGGGUGAACGGAGGGAAACUUAGGCUAAUACCGCAAACGACCUACGGGUGAAAGCAUGGUAACUUCGGACCUUGCGCUAUUGAAUGCGCCGGUGUCGGAUUAGCUAGUUGGCGGGGUAAGGGCCCACCAAGGCGACGAUCCGUAGCUGGUCUGAGAGGAUGAUCAGCCACACUGGAACUGAGACACGGUCCAGACUCCUACGGGAGGCAGCAGUGGGGAAUAUUGGACAAUGGGCGCAAGCCUGAUCCAGCCAUACCGCGUGGGUGAAGAAGGCCUUCGGGUUGUAAAGCCCUUUUGUUGGGAAAGAAAUCCAGCUGGCUAAUACCCGGUUGGGAUGACGGUACCCAAAGAAUAAGCACCGGCUAACUUCGUGCCAGCCGCCGCCGUAA
rnacentral:rRNA from 1 species